CUACGGGGCGCACCAGUCGAGAAUCUUCCGCAAUGGACGAAAGUCUGACGGAGCGACGCCGCGUGCGGGAUGAAGGCCUUCGGGUUGUAAACCGCUGUCAGUGGGGAGGAAAUGCAUCAGGGUUCUCCCUGGUGUUUGACCGAUCCGCAGAGGAAGCGCAGGCUAAGUUCGUGCCAGCAGCGGUAACACGAACUGCGCGAACGUUAUUCGGAAUCACUGGGCUUAAAGAGUUCGUAGGCGGCCUUGCAAGUCGGGUGUGAAAUCCCUCGGCUCAACCGAGGAAUUGCGCCUGAUACUGUUGGGCUUGAGGGGGAUAGGGGUGAGCGGAACUGAUGGUGGAGCGGUGAAAUGCGUUGAUAUCAUCAGGAACACCGGUGGCGAAGGCGGCUCACUGGAUCUCUUCUGACGCUGAGGAACGAAAGCUAGGGGAGCGAACGGGAUUAGAUACCCCGGUAGUC
rnacentral:rRNA from 1 species